AACGAACGCUGGCGGCAUGCCUAACACAUGCAAGUCGAACGAAGCCUUCGGGCUUAGUGGCGCACGGGUGCGUAACGCGUGGGAAUCUGCCCUUGGGUUCGGAAUAACAGUUAGAAAUGACUGCUAAUACCGGAUGAUGUCUUCGGACCAAAGAUUUAUCGCCCAAGGAUGAGCCCGCGUAGGAUUAGGUAGUUGGUGGGGUAAUGGCCCACCAAGCCGACGAUCCUUAGCCGGUCCGAGAGGAUGAUCAGCCACACUGGGACUGAGACACGGCCCAGACGCCUACGGGAGGCAGCAGUGGGGAAUAUUGGACAAUGGGCGAAAGCCUGAUCCAGCAAUGCCGCGUGAGUGAUGAAGGCCUUAGGGUUGUAAAGCUCUUUUACCAGGGAUGAUAAUGACAGUACCUGGAGAAUAAGCUCCGGCUAACUCUGUGCCAGCAGCCGCCGUAACAC
rnacentral:rRNA from 1 species